rnacentral:rRNA from 1 species
CCGGAUUUAUUGGGUUUAAAGGGUGCGUAGGUGGGCUUAUAAGUCAGCGGUGAAAUCCCCCGGCUCAACCAGGGAAUUGCCGUUGGUACUGUUAGCCUUGAGUACAGUUGAAGUGGGCGGAAUGUAGCAUGUAGCGGUGAAAUGCAUAGAUAUGCUACAGAACACCAAUAGCGAAGGCAGCUCACUAAGUUGUAACUGACACUAAUGCACGAAAGCGUGGGGAUCAAACAGGAUUAGAUACCCUGGUAGUCCACACUGUAAACGAUGAUCACUCGUUGUUGGCGAUAUACAGUCAGCGACUGAACGAAAGUAUUAAGUGAUCCACCUGGGGAGUACGAUCGCAAGGUUGAAACUCAAAGGAAUUGACGGGGGCCCGCACAAGCGGUGGAGCAUGUGGUUUAAUUCGAUGAUACGCGAGGAACCUUACC